AUAUUGGUCAAUGGGGGGAACCCUGAACAAGCGACACCGCGUGUGGGUCGAAGGUAAUCGGAUUGUACCACUAUGUUGUUUGGAAAGAUAAUUACAGUACCAGAUGAGGAAGCAACUGCUAAAUACGUGCCAGAAGCCGCGGUAAUACCAAGGUGGCAAGCGUUGUCCGGAAUUACUGGGUGUAAAGGGAGCGUAGCCGGGUAGGCAAGUUGAAUGUUAAAUCUAUCGGCUCAACCGAUAGCCGCGUUCAAAACUGUCUUUCUUGAGUGAAGUAGAGGCAAGCAGAAUUCCUAGUGUAGCGGUGAAAUGCGUAGAGAUUAGGAGGAAUACCAGUGGCGAAGGCGGCUUGCUGGGCUUUUACUGACGCUGAGGCUCGAAAGUGUGGGGAGCAAACA
rnacentral:rRNA from 1 species